rnacentral:rRNA from 1 species
AGAGUUUGAUCAUGGCUCAGGACGAACGCUGGCGGCGUGCUUAACACAUGCAAGUCGAACGAUGAACCACUUCGGUGGGGAUUAGUGGCGAACGGGUGAGUAACACGUGGGCAAUCUGCCCUGCACUCUGGGACAAGCCCUGGAAACGGGGUCUAAUACCGGAUACUGACCCGCUUGGGCAUCCAAGCGGUUCGAAAGCUCCGGCGGUGCAGGAUGAGCCCGCGGCCUAUCAGCUUGUUGGUGAGGUAAUGGCUCACCAAGGCGACGACGGGUAGCCGGCCUGAGAGGGCGACCGGCCACACUGGGACUGAGACACGGCCCAGACUCCUACGGGAGGCAGCAGUGGGGAAUAUUGCACAAUGGGCGAAAGCCUGAUGCAGCGACGCCGCGUGAGGGAUGACGGCCUUCGGGUUGUAAACCUCUUUCAGCAGGGAAGAAGCGAAAGUGACGGUACCUGCAGAAGAAGCGCCGGCUAACUACGUGCCAGCAGCCGCGGUAAUACGUAGGGCGCGAGCGUUGUCCGGAAUUAUUGGGCGUAAAGAGCUCGUAGGCGGCUUGUCACGUCGGUUGUGAAAGCCCGGGGCUUAACCCCGGGUCUGCAGUCGAUACGGGCAGGCUAGAGUUCGGUAGGGGAGAUCGGAAUUCCUGGUGUAGCGGUGAAAUGCGCAGAUAUCAGGAGGAACACCGGUGGCGAAGGCGGAUCUCUGGGCCGAUACUGACGCUGAGGAGCGAAAGCGUGGGGAGCGAACAGGAUUAGAUACCCUGGUAGUCCACGCCGUAAACGGUGGGCACUAGGUGUGGGCGACAUUCCACGUCGUCCGUGCCGCAGCUAACGCAUUAAGUGCCCCGCCUGGGGAGUACGGCCGCAAGGCUAAAUCUCUAGAGGAUCCCCGGGUACCGAGCUCGAAUUCGUAAUCAUGGUCAUAGCUGU